AAGAUGAGUUAGACUUUUUGAUUAUUCAAAGCAAAACGUGUGCUGUUUAAUCUAUUUUGGAGGUAAGCUAUUGCUUAAAAAAUAUUACUUAAAACAAACACUAACAAGCUCAAGACUGCAGAAAGUGAAAAGAGCAACUAGCAGCAUGUGCCUUGCUGUUUUCACCUGGUAAUCAUAAACCGAGAAGGAAAUUUUAUAGAAUGAAAUGCUCAGAUAAAGAAAUCUUUAUUGCUUCUAUUAACUUAAGUGCACUGUUAACAGAUUCCUUGCUUUAUAUGUGACCUUCAUAACACAAGAGAUCGCUGAGAUAUUUCUUCUCAUGCAACAGAGAAAUAUCACCAGGAAACAUGCUCCAUACAACGGUCGAUUGGCAAAAAGAUGUUUUGGGCUUUCCUACUUUCCAGCUUUGAUUUGAUAUUCGCACAUACGUGACUGUGCGGAUCGGAACUACUGCCAAGACGUGGUGCCCUCGGCAGAGCCAUACCGCACCGAACCGGCAGCACGGCUGCUGUGCACAUCGGCGUGCACGGGCACGAGCGCUGCGCUGCCUGCAGCGCGGGAGGGAACAGCCCCAGCUAUGCAGGGGGCUCAGGGCGUAGGAGCCAGCUUCGCCCUCCUUCACAAGUACCUGAUGUGCAUGCUUGAUAGCGUCAUGCUUUCCAGCAGAAGGCCGCAGAGCUAGUUAUCGAUUACUGUGAGGUCACAGAAAGCAUGAAAUGCCAGCUGGGGUUAGUGUUAUUAACGGGGGUCAUAUGGAGAGAUCCGUAGAUUAAAUGCAUGCAAAGAGCCAGCAAAACCUCACACCCACGACAAGACUAAAACUUUCUAAAACAAGUCACCCUGAGGUGGUACCAUUCACUCUUUCAUUACACAAUUCAGAAGGAAGCAGAUCUGGAAGCUUUUGGCUUCUCACCUCAGGAUCGCUACAACAUCUCCUUGUGGAAAACUCUGCAUUUUCCACACUCUCAGAGCUUUAAACCCUGUGUAUGCACGCGUGUGGCCCGCAUACACACACACAACGCACUCUGCCCCUCUUUUUUUGUGUAGUACGACUACUCUGUAGGAUGGCUGCAUCAUUUUAUCCGUGUUUUGUAUUUUUUUCAUUCUCUCUAGCCGGACACUUCUUUUAAAGCCCAAAAAUAGAUUCCUAGAAACCUAAAACCCACCAACAAACAGACAUUCUCGCCACCCACUCUGCUACUACAUUCUGCUUCUGGAAGCAAAAAGUAUCAAACAAAGCAAACUUGCAUCAACAUCAACGAAAAUAAGCUGUCAUAAAGGAAAGGUUUCAGGUAAAUAUUUUGUCCAAAUCCUUCUUGGUAUACUUACCAUUUACAACUUGGCAAUUUUUUAAAGCAGAACAACAACAACAAGAGCCCUACCCAAAACAAUGCAUUUGGCAGCCUGCUGGGACAGAUUUACCGGGUCUGACACCUGCAGUUUAUUCCAUUACACAUCUCAAAACAUAUUCGUCUUUAUCUUGUUUAUUAUAGCCGACUCCCACAGCAGAAUUCCUGUCUUGCAAGCCUACCACAUUUCAGCCUCCCUGCCUGUCCUAAAGGAAAACUGACUGAAUUGUAUUCGAGCGUGAUUUCUAUCACCGGCGUGAGGGAGGAAGGCACCUCUCUGCUGAGAAGAGAGACUACUGUAGCGGGAGCACAGAAGAGAGGACAUCAACAACACACUAAGCAGCUGCUAUUUCGGGCUAAUCUUUCUCUGAGACGCAAGCAAAUAGUUUGCCUCAAAUGCUUUUCACAAACCGAGGAGCGUCAGAGUUGCAUCCAAGAGAGGACACCAAGACAUAUCCCUGAGCCUGGAACAUAAAACAAAGACGUGAAGGUAAGGCCUGUCACCUUGUGCCCGCCGAAAUCCUCAAGCAAGAGCAGAAUUUACCCAGCCAAUGCUUAAAAACGACUGGCCUCCUGUCAUCUCGGGCUUUAAUAAAUCUUGCUUGGGAAGUG